UACGAGGGGGGCAAAUGUUGUUCGGAAUCACUGGGCGUAAAGGGCGCGUAGGCGGGUUUCUAAGUCAGGUGUUUAAUCCCGGGGCCCAACCCCGGACAGGCACUUGAAACUGGGAAUCUUGAAUAGUGGAGAGGUCAGUGGAAUUGGGGGUGUAGCGGUGGAAUGCGUAGAGAUCCCCAAGAACACCAGUUGCGAAGGCGGCUGACUGGACACAUAUUGACGCUGAGGCUCGAAAACAUGGGGAGCAAACAGG
rnacentral:rRNA from 1 species